AGAAUCAACGCUGGCGGCGUGCCUAACACAUGCAAGUCGAACGAGAAAGUGGGAGCAAUCCCACGAGUAAAGUGGCGCACGGGUGAGUAACACGUGACUAACCUACCCUUGAGUGGGGGAUAACCUAGGGAAACCUGGGCUAAUACCGCAUAAUACCUUCGGGUCAAAGGAGCAAUUCGCUUAAGGAGGGGGUCGCGGCCGAUUAGUUAGUUGGCGGGGUAAUGGCCCACCAAGACUGUGAUCGGUAUCC
rnacentral:rRNA from 1 species